AACGAACGCUGGCGGCAGGCCUAAUACAUGCAAGUCGGGCGAGGACUUCGGUUCUUGCGGCCGACGGGGGAGUCACGCGAGGGAAUGUUCACUUCUCUACGGCCUAGCCCUGGGAAACGGGGAGUAAUACCGAAUACGCGCUAUUGCGGAAUGAUUUAUCGGAGCAGGAGCAGCACGCGUGGGAUAAGGUAGUGGGUGGGGUAAUGGACUACCAAGCCGACGAUCCAUAGCUGGUUAGUGAGACUGGUCAGCAACACUGGGACUGAGACACGGCCCAGACUCCUACGGGAUGCAGCAGUGCGGAACCUUAGACAAUGGGGGCAAUCCUGAUGUUGUCCUGCCGCGUGAGUGAUGUAGGCCUUAGGGUUGUAAAGCGCAAUCAACUGGGCAGAUAAUGACGGUACCUGCAGAAGAAGCCCCGGCUAACUCCGUG
rnacentral:rRNA from 1 species